CAUGCAAGUCGAGCGAACAGAUAAGGAGCUUGCUCCUUUGACGUUAGCGGCGGACGGGUGAGUAACACGUGGGUAACCUACCUAUAAGACUGGAAUAACUCCGGGAAACCGGGGCUAAUGCCGGAUAAUAUUUAGAACCGCAUGGUUCUAAAGUGAAAGAUGGUUUUGCUAUCACUUAUAGAUGGACCCGCGCCGUAUUAGCUAGUUGGUGGGGUAAUGGCUUACCAAGGCAACGAUACGUAGCCGACCUGAGAGGGUGAUCGGCCACACUGGAACUGAGACACGGUCCAGACUCCUACGGGAGGCAGCAGUAGGGAAUCUUCCGCAAUGGGCGAAAGCCUGACGGAGCAACGCCGCGUGAGUGAUGAAGGUCUUCGGAUCGUAAAACUCUGUUAUUAGGGAAGAACAAAUGUGUAAGUAACUGUGCACGUCUUGACGGUACCUAAUCAGAAAGCCACGGCUAA
rnacentral:rRNA from 1 species